AGGCGGCGGCAGCAGGCAAGACAGCCUCAGCAGCCCCGAGCGCGUGGCAGAGCUAGCAGGACCACCCCCACCCCCUCCCCAGAGCUGCUUGAGCUCAGCCUUGGUCCGGGGCGGGGCGGGACAGGGCGGGGCCGGAGGACCGAGGGGGCGGGGAGAAGAGGCUCCAGCUGGCUCCACUCCGCAGCGGCAGCAGAGGCAGCGCAGCGGGCCGAGCGAGCAGCAGCUGCCGGACAGGCAGCCGGGCGCGCUCCGGGAGGAAGCCGGCCGGCGGCCCUAAGACAUUGCUGACACCAGCUGUGCAGCUGGGAAAGUUAUCGAAGAUGUGCUCCGUGGAUGAGUUAAUAUAACAGAGAUUAUUUGGCAAGUCUUCCUGGUAAGUGUACCCCCUUGAUAAUAUAUCAUUUUUUACAGCUUCGAAAAUUCAAAUUACUCUC
rnacentral:lncRNA from 1 species